AACGAACGCUGGCGGCAUGCCUAACACAUGCAAGUCGAACGAGACCUUCGGGUCUAGUGGCGCACGGGUGCGUAACGCGUGGGAACCUGCCCUUAGGUUCGGAAUAACUCCCCGAAAGGGGUGCUAAUACCGGAUAAUGUCUUCGGACCAAAGAUUUAUCGCCUUUGGAUGGGCCCGCGUUGGAUUAGCUAGUUGGUAGGGUAAAAGCCUACCAAGGCGACGAUCCAUAGCUGGUCUGAGAGGAUGAUCCGCCACACUGGGACUGAGACACGGCCCGGACUCCUACGGGAAGCAGCAGUGGGGAAUAUUGGACAAUGGGCGAAAGCCUGAUCCAGCAAUGCCGCGUGAGUGAUGAAGGCCUUAGGGUUGUAAAGCUCUUUUACCCGGGAUGAUAAUGACAGUACCGGGAGAAUAAGCUCCGGCUAACUCCGUG
rnacentral:rRNA from 1 species